GACGAACGCUGACGGCGUGCUUAACACAUGCAAGUCGAAGGGAGUGGCGAACGGGUGAGUAACACGGGAGUAACCUGCCCUUUUCUUUGGGAUAAGCCUGGGAAACUUGGACUAAUACUGGAUGGAUUGGGAUGGGCUCGCGGCUUGUCAGCUUGGUGGUGGGGUGAUGGCUUACCAAGGCUUUGCCGGGUAGCCGGCCUGAGCGGGUUGUCGGUGACACUGGGACGGAGCUACGGCCCAGACUCGUACGGGAGGCAGAAGUGGGGGAUAUUGCACAAUGGACGAAAGUCUGAUGCAGCGAGGUCGUGUGGGGGAUGAAGGCCUUCGUGUUGUAAACUCCUUGCACCCGCGGAAUGGUAGUGGGUAAAGAAGCGCCGGCUAACUACGUGCCAGCAGCCGCGGUAAUUC
rnacentral:rRNA from 1 species